rnacentral:rRNA from 1 species
GAUGAACGCUAGCUACAGGCUUAACACAUGCAAGUCGAGGGGUAACGAGAGGGAAGCUUGCUUUCCUUGUCGACGACCGGCGCACGGGUGAGUAACGCGUAUCCAACCUGCCCCCAACUAAGGAAUAACCUUGCGAAAGUAAGACUAAUACCCUAUAAUUUCCUCAGAUGACAUCUGACGAGGAAUAAAGAUUUAUCGGUUGUGGAUGGGGAUGCGUCUGAUUAGCUUGUUGGCGGGGUAACGGCCCACCAAGGCAACGAUCAGUAGGGGUUCUGAGAGGAAGGUCCCCGCAUUGGAACUGAGACAAGGUCCAAACUCCUACGGGAGGCAGCAGUGAGGAAUAUUGGUCAAUGGGCGGAAGCCUGAACCAGCCAAGUAGCGUGCAGGAUGACGGCCCUAUGGGUUGUAAACUGCUUUUAUACAGGAAUAAAGUUAGCCACGUGUGGUUAUUUGUAGGUACUGUAUGAAUAAGGACCGGCUAAUUCCGUGCCAGCCGCCGCAGUAA